GCUAUCCAAUACCUUAUUUCCUUGUAUUUGUGAUUUGUUUCGCCUGAUUGUAUCAGGAAAUCGAGGAAAGGCCUAUUAAUAUGGAUGUACGUAUAUAAAAAAAUCAUGGAGGCUUACUGCCUCGGUUCCUCCAUUCGGUAGAAACGAUAUGUGCCUGCUGCGUUGGAAAAGCAACAUACAUAUGGUACUGUGAGGAUGAAACUCAUCUGUACCCUAGUGCUUCCUUGAACUGGGAAUUCUUCUCCCGUUAUAUUUAGGUAAGCUGACUUAAUUUGUACCAAGUUUAUUGAGUUCUGUGGUGAAUUGAUAUGCUCAUUUCUAAAAACCUCAAUUAAAUCUUGGACAAUACUGGGAUGCCUAGCGUUUAUUUUUCCAAAAUAAUUAUCAAGAGUGGCCAUUGUUUUCCAGAAUUAUUAUUAUUUUUUUUUAUUGUUAUUCGCGUGUGUGCAUAUGUAUUCUUAGACCUUAUCUAGGUCAUUAGCUUGGCUUAUGGCUCUUUUGGUUACACAUUUAUUGUGUAAUAGAUAAGCUUUAUAUAGAAUAUAUGCGCACAUUAUUA